CGCGUAGGCGGGUCGUUAAGUAGGGGGUGAAAGCCCAGGGCUCAACCCUGGAAUUGCCUUCUAAACUGGCGGCCUUGAGUAUGGCAGAGGUGUGUGGAACUCCGAGUGUAGAGGUGAAAUUCGUAGAUAUUCGGAAGAACACCAGUGGCGAAGGCGACACACUGGGCCAUUACUGACGCUGAGGCGCGAAAGCGUGGGGAGCAAACA
rnacentral:rRNA from 1 species